GGCGCAUCSBBSSACAGCAGUCGAACGCAGCGCGGGCUUCGGCUGGCGGCGAGUGGCGAACGGGUGAGUAAUGCAUCGGAACGUGCCCAGUAGUGGGGGAUAGCCCGGCGAAAGCGAUUUAAUACCGCAUACGACCUGAGGGUGAAAGCGGGGGACCGAAAGGCCUCGCGCUAUUGGAGCSGCCGAUGUCGGAUUAGCUAGUUGGUGGGGUAAAGGCUUACCAAGGCGACGAUCCGUAGCUGGUCUUAGAGGACGACCAGCCACACUGGGACUGAGACACGGCCCAGACUUCUACGGGAGGAAGCAGUUGGGAAUUUUGGACAAUUGGGGGCAACCC
rnacentral:rRNA from 1 species